GUGUAAUGACUUUCUGUUUUAUCCAAUGUGAUAUGGUGAGAUACCCCAAACAUAAAGGCCAUACGCUAUAUUGAAAUAGCGCCAGGUUCUGGUGCUGUGAGCGCCGCAAUUCGCGCUCGUGGGCAUCCCGCCUCAAACGGCGCUGAAUUUAAACAUGCCCCUAUAAAUACUGAUGGGGUGUGCUGGAAUCCGAGGCAGAGGGAAACAUGAGAACACACAGAACUGCUGUCUUCAGUGUAUUAAACCCCACCUGGAAAUGUGACGUCAGCAGGGUCAUAACAACUAGAAAUGAACACAAACUUCACAGUGUUGACGCAUUUCUCAGAUUCUGCGACUUGUUUAAAGAUGAUGGUUCCAUUGCUCACUGAACUGUGAAUAUUAAAACAUCAGCAUUAUGUGAUAAUAUAAUAAACUGUUGGGGUUGGUUUGUAGGCAGUGUUGUUAGCUGAUUGUUUUAUGUAAGCUACAAUCACUAACCAUACUGCCAAC